rnacentral:rRNA from 1 species
UCGGGAAUCUUGCACAAUGGGCGAAAGCCUGAUGCAGCAACGCCGUGUGAGCGAGGAAGGUCUUCGGAUCGUAAAGCUCUGUUGUUGGGGACGAAGGGCGAAGGGUUAAUAGCCCCUAGCCUGACGGUACCCUUCGAGGAAGUCCCGGCUAACUCCGUGCCAGCAGCCGCGGUAAUACGGAGGGGACUAGCGUUGUUCGGAAUUACUGGGCGUAAAGCGCGCGUAGGCGGACUAUUAAGUCAGGGGUGAAAUCCCGGGGCUCAACCCCGGAACUGCCCUUGAUACUGGUCGUCUUGAGUUCGAGAGAGGUGAGUGGAACUCCGAGUGUAGAGGUGAAAUUCGUAGAUAUUCGGAAGAACACCAGUGGCGAAGGCGGCUCACUGGCUCGAUACUGACGCUGAGGUGCGAAAGCGUGGGGAGCAAACAGG